rnacentral:rRNA from 1 species
UACGGGGGGUGCGAGCGUUGUCCGGAAUCACUGUGCGUAAAGGGCGCGUAGGUGGCUUUGUAAGUUUGCGGUGAAAGCCCGGGGCUCAACCCCGGGUCUGCCGUGGAUACUGCAAGGCUUGAGUACUGUAGAGGCAGGUAGAAUAUCGGGUGUAGCGGUGGAAUGCGUAGAGAUCCGAUAGAAGACCGGUGGCGAAGGCGGCCUGCUGGGCAGUAACUGACACUGAGGCGCGACAGCGUGGGGAGCAAACAGG